UACGUAGGGCGCAAGCGUUUAUCCGGAAUUAUUGGGCGUAAAGAGCUCGUAGGCGGUUUGUCGCGUCUGCCGUGAAAGUCCGGGGCUCAACUCCGGAUCUGCGGUGGGUACGGGCAGACUAGAGUGAUGUAGGGGAGACUGGAAUUCCUGGUGUAGCGGUGAAAUGCGCAGAUAUCGGGAAGAACACCCGUGGCGAAGGCGGCUCUCUGGGACGGUACUGACGCUGAGACGCGAAAGCGGUGGGGAGCGAACAGG
rnacentral:rRNA from 1 species